UGUACAUCAGAAAUUGACACAACAUUGUAAACUGUAUACUUCAAUAAAAUAAAAAUUUAAAAACCUGAACAUUUAAAACGACCCUUGAGAGAAAUGGCCCCAUCUCACCAAAUUUGGGCAGGAAAACGCUGAGACACUACGGGGAGGAGGAGGGGAGAUGGCGCUGAGAGAACGGGGGAGUGGGAGGGCAGCUAUAGAGGGGCACCAGGCAGGGGGUGAACGCGGAGAAGAGGGGAUAGAUGCUCUAGCCCAAGGAACACUUGCCGGCCAGAUGUGUGACAUGGCCCUGUGGCAUUUGGACAGGCCAGGGUGGGGCAGGGCUGAAAAUGGGCCACGGGCUGACCUGGGCCUCUUUCUGGCUUUCAGCUGGGCUGGGGAUGGAGGGACACGUGUGACCCAGCCUCCCCUAGCCAGUGUGAGCUGCAGACCUCCCUGGGCACAGGCUGAGCCGGGAAGGUUUGAAGCUUGGCCCCUGCCUGGAAAAAUGACAAUUAGGCAAGUUAAAUGGCUGAGAAGUGACACACACACACUGGGGUGCAUCAUGAACCUCCUGGAUCUUGGCUAAUGAUGGAAGUGGACACAUGAAGGAUUCCCUGCUGUGACAAGUGAAUGUGAGCAUCUUGAAGCCCAGUCAUGUGAUGUUUCUACCUUAAUGUUCUUUGAAAUAAAUGAUUGCCUCCCCAUG